UUCAAUACCUCCAGGGUCUCUUCCCACUGUCUCUCUAGCCUUCUGCACAUUCUGCACACACAGGCAGGUGGUCCCCAGAGCUGAGUGUGUUUCCUCAUUUGUCUUCCUGCAAGUGCCUGUAGCUACCAGGGGCCCCUUCCCACUAUGGGCAGCCAGGUGCUCUGCUGUGUGGUUCUUUGUCUCCUGGGAGCAGGCACAUUGGGUGGUGGAAUCACUCAGACCCCAAAAUACCUGUCCAGAGGGGAAGGACAAGUUGUGACCCUGCACUGUGAACAGGACUUAGGCCAUAACGCCAUGUACUGGUACCGACAGGACCCCGGGCAGGGGUUGAGGCUGAUCUACUUCUCCCCAGCUGAAAAAAUUGUUGAGAAUGGAGACCUGGCUGGAGGCUACCAGACCUCUCGGGAGAAGAAGGCAUUCUUUCCUCUCACCGUGACAUCUGCCCGGAAGAACCAGACAGCUGUGUACCUCUGUGCCAGCAGCUUAGACACAGUGGGGCACAGCCACCUCCUGUCUGUGCAUAAAUGGGUCCCCAGGGCCGCUUGCUCACCAGGUGGCAGGGCUUCGCUGUGCUCAGUACCCGGCCCUGCCCGCCUUCUUCCACCUCAGCCCACCACCCACAGCCGCUAG